rnacentral:rRNA from 1 species
AUUCGAUUAGAGUUUGAUCAUGGCUCAGGAUGAACGCUGGCGGCGUGCUUAAUACAUGCAAGUCGAACGGAGACAGUAGCAAUAUUGUCUUAGUGGCGAACGGGUGAGUAACGCGUUGGUGACCUGCCCCGAAGAGGGGGAUAACAGUCCGAAAGGAUUGCUAAUACCCCAUGUGGUCGUUUGGAUUAGAUGCCUUACGACUAAACGGAUUUAUUCGCUUCGGGAGGGGCCUGCGUCCCAUCAGCUAGUUGGUAAGGUAACGGCUUACCAAGGCGAUGACGGGUAGGGGACCUGAGAGGGUGGCCCCCCACAAUGGAACUGAAACACGGUCCAUACACCUACGGGUGGCAGCAGUAGGGAAUAUUGGUAAUGUGCGAAAGCGCGAACCAGCAACGCCGCGUGCGCGAUGAAGGCCUUCGGGUUGUAAAGCGCUUUUUAUGGGGAUGAGGAAGGACAGUACUCAUAGAAUAAGCCUCGGCUAACUACGUGCCAGCAGCCGCGGUAAAACGUAGGAGGCGAGCGUUAUCCGGAUUUACUGGGCGUAAAGCGUGUGUAGGCGGUUUGAUAAGUUGGAUGUGAAAGCUCCUGGCUUAACUGGGAGAGGUCGUUCAAAAC